GCCCCCGUUGUCUAAUGGUUAUGACGUCAGACUUCUACCCCUUGGUGAUCUGGAGGUUGCGGGUUCGAGUCCCGCCGGGGGUU